GAUAAACGCUGGCGGCGUGCAUGAGACAUGCAAGUCGAACGAAGGAUCGGGCUUGCUCGAUCCUUAGUGGCGGACGGCUGAGUAACGCGUAGGUGACCUACCCCGAAGUGGGGAAUAACUGCCCGAAAGGGUGGCUAAUACCGCAUGUGGUCGCACGUUCAUUCGUGCGAGUAAAGCCGCAAGGCGCUUCGGGCGGGGCCUGCGUCCGAUUAGCUCGUUGGUGGGGUAAUGGCUUACCAAGGCGACGAUCGGUAGGUGGUCUGAGAGGACGAUCACCCAGACUGGGACUGAGACACGGCCCAGACUCCUACGGGAGGCAGCAGUCGGGAAUUUUGCUCAAUGGGGGAAACCCUGAAGCAGCAACGCCGCGUGAGGGAUGAAGGCCUUCGGGUUGUAAACCUCCUUUGUCAGGGACGAUGAUGACGGUACCUGGCGAAUAAGCCACGGCUAACUACGUG
rnacentral:rRNA from 1 species